CCACCUUGGUAACAAAAAUUAAGGAAUUUAGUUCAAAAGAGUGAGCUGUUUACGUCUUUAGUUAGCAUAGGCAUCUUGACGAGUUUAGUUGGCACGAAGGAGUUUAGAUGCCCUCUGACGACUCAUUUGACGAAGGACUUCUCGAUUACCACUUGAGCCUUCAACAGUAACGUCUCGUAUCAAACUACGUAUGAGCGGUGUGGCAGCUUCAGCACCUAUAAGCAGGUUUAAAGCAGAAUAUUGAGUUGUCUUGCGUUUUGUUAUGUUUAGGAUUAGCUGUAACCUCAACAAAACAGCUGGCCAAGUCCUUGACCCAAUUAAUAAAAUCAGUGCUUUGAAACAUUGAAACAUGCGUCCCCGAUCAGUGACAAUUAAUUUUGGAGUUCCAAAGAGAGACACCAUGGUAGUGAAGUGUUGCUUUCGUUCGUCAGUGUCUUGUCGGAACAUGGGAUACAAUAAACAAAAUUUUGAAAACGCGUCUAUAAUAAUAAGUACAUGACGGUGACCGUCAGUUUCUGGUAGGGGGCCCAAGGUGUCCAUAUGGACUGCCUCAAAUGCUACGUCUGGUUUUCUCCCAUGAAUGAAUGAGCCGUGAAAGAGCACGAGCUACCUUUUUAUGAGAAAGGCAAACCAAACAAUGGGAAAUGUAUUUUUUUUUUUCUUUGCAAAUGUUCUCAACCCUGGGAACUAAAAGUGUUUUGUUAUCAAGUCUACAGUUUUAUCAACCCCUUGAUGAUCAUGUUCGUCGUGAAAAUACAUAUAAGACAGUCUAUGGCCUUUUGGAAUAUAACAACAAAAAUUAGGAUUUUCACCAAUAGGUGAGAGCUUGACUUAAAGGAUGUCAUAACGACUGAGGUUUAACUGCCCAUUCACCAGUUUUUGUCUUAGAGAGUGAGUUUUCUCGUCAGAAGCCUGAGCAACUUGCGCCCAAUUUAGCGGUCUUUUAAUGGUACAUAAGUUAACCGGAUUGCGGCUAAGAUAAUCUGCAUGGGACAAAAAACAACCUUUUCUAUAUUCCAGGUUAGAAUCGAAUUCUUGGAGGUAUACCCACCACCGAGCCACCCUUGGCAACAAGUCUUUCUUACGUUGGCGUCUUCAGUUCGUACGAGUGCUACUUCCUCUCAGCCCCCUGAGUGAGUCUACUACAAUAAGGCAGUACUCGUUUACGAUUUCCCUUAUGCACUCUCAUCAUGACGACUCCGUAACCAAUCAAGCUCGCAUCUGUGUAGUAUUUCUAUUGGCAGCGUAGGAUCAUAAAUGGCGAGUACUGGCUCACUUGUAAGACAAUCUAUGAUGUAGUCACGAGCGGCCUGUUUUUCAGCACCUCAAUGAAAGUUAAUUUUUAGUAAGUGCCGCUAUGCAAGCAGCCCUUUGGGCAAACCCAACUAUAUACCGCCUAAAAUAGCUAGCUAACCCCAGAAAUUGCCUUACUUGCUUAAGAUUUUUUUUGUUCGGCUAAAUCAAUUAAGGCCCGCACUUUCUGACGACUUGGCCUAUCCUGACCUUUACUAAUCGUACGACCCAGGUAUUCAAUAGUGGUAGCUAAAAACGAGCAUUCCUUUAUUAUUUGCUUUUCAAGCAAAUCUGUUAUUAUGUCACGACCACGGAUCGUUUCAGCGUGUGAGAGUUGAUAUGACCGAUUAUACACAGGAAUGCUGGAUUUAAGUUUAAUUGACAUGCUACCUAUGUUUACGGUUGAUGUAGCAGUUCCCGUAAUCAAGUACCGAGAGAAUUCAUUAAUUAUCCUCUUAGUAACCCUCUCUAAAUAGUUACCUACCAGAGGUGUAUCAAUUGUCAUCGAAACAUCAGACUGAACAAUCAUCACCAUUAAUUCAUAAAAUAUGUGCAUGAUUCGAGCCUAGAUAACUUAACGCCCUCACUAUUUGAUAAACUCCCUGAUAACCGUUCGAUUUUGGGUCUCUUACUACACAAAGCUUCUUUUUGCCCCAACUGCCCACAGAAAAAGCACCUGAUAUCACUCAGAUUACGUUUACGUGAAUACUCCAGAGAUCGUCUAUCUGUCGUAACGUUUCACAAUUCCGAACGCGAGUAUA